rnacentral:lncRNA from 1 species
AUUUCAAUUUUUAAAAAAGGAAGCAGAGGGCAGGAUUGUUGUUUUCAUAAUGGGAUCACAGAACUUAUGCCAAACUCUGCAUGCCUGUUCUAGAGAUACUCCCGGCCUACAGUAUGUGAUCACUGAGUUCUCAACUAUUAAAGUUUGAACAGAGAGAUGAACUUUGGAAGGCAAUGCCCUCACUGCUGGAUAGAUUGCUGUUGACAGCUUUUGACCAGAGGGAGCCAUUAGAUUUUGCUGGCUAGCAAACAAUUGCAGCUUUGAUAUGAGCUACAAGAUCAUUCAAAUCUCCAGAUCCCUUGCAGACUUCAUUAUGAAUCUUUCCCAAGAACCCGCUUGCAGUAUACAGAAAGUACACCUGGAUUUGUAUUCAUCUGCCCCAGAUUGUUCUGCCUGACCAAGGAUGGAAGUGUGCAAGCCGAAACACACAUCUUAAUGUGAACCAGACUUGGUGUGGGAUUCGCCACAGUACCCUGCCAGGUAUUCAAGCCUUCCAGAUACUCUGCUGUCUUUUGAUGAUCUGCCUAUAAAUUCUUUCAGUCUCUGAGACUGAGCCCAAGUUUCUCCUCCCCCUCCUCCUCCCUUUGACAUCCACUGUGUUUCAUCUGCAUUGUGCAAUCUGACGCAAGCUACUAUGGUUUAGUCUCAGUUUCAUUUUGCUGCAUCUGUUUCACUGUAUAACCCUGAUUUUUGUGUUUCCAAGUACAGCCUGGUAAUUUGACUCCUGUUCCUGACAGAUAAUUCAGUUUUAUUUUUCUGACUCCGGAUCUUAACCUAUCUCCAGUUAU